rnacentral:rRNA from 1 species
UGUGUUUCGACACACUAUCAUUAACUGAAUCCAUAGGUUAAUGAGGCGAACCGGGGGAACUGAAACAUCUAAGUACCCCGAGGAAAAGAAAUCAACCGAGAUUCCCCCAGUAGCGGCGAGCGAACGGGGAGCAGCCCAGAGCCUGAAUCAGUGUGUGUGUUAGUGGAAGCGUCUGGAAAGGCGCGCGAUACAGGGUGACAGCCCCGUACACAAAAAUGCACAUGCUGUGAGCUCGAUGAGUAGGGCGGGACACGUGGUAUCCUGUCUGAAUAUGGGGGGACCAUCCUCCAAGGCUAAAUACUCCUGACUGACCGAUAGUGAACCAGUACCGUGAGGGAAAGGCGAAAAGAACCCCGGCGAGGGGAGUGAAAAAGAACCUGAAACCGUGUACGUACAAGCAGUGGGAGCACGCUUAGGCGUGUGACUGCGUACCUUUUGUAUAAUGGGUCAGCGACUUAUAUUCUGUAGCAAGGUUAACCGAAUAGGGGAGCCGAAGGGAAACCGAGUCUUAACUGGGCGUUAAGUUGCAGGGUAUAGACCCGAAACCCGGUGAUCUAGCCAUGGGCAGGUUGAAGGUUGGGUAACACUAACUGGAGGACCGAACCGACUAAUGUUGAAAAAUUAGCGGAUGACUUGUGGCUGGGGGUGAAAGGCCAAUCAAACCGGGAGAUAGCUGGUUCUCCCCGAAAGCUAUUUAGGUAGCGCCUCGUGAAUUCAUCUCCGGGGGUAGAGCACUGUUUCGGCAAGGGGGUCAUCCCGACUUACCAACCCGAUGCAAACUGCGAAUACCGGAGAAUGUUAUCACGGGAGACACACGGCGGGUGCUAACGUCCGUCGUGAAGAGGGAAACAACCCAGACCGCCAGCUAAGGUCCCAAAGUCAUGGUUAAGUGGGAAACGAUGUGGGAAGGCCCAGACAGCCAGGAUGUUGGCUUAGAAGCAGCCAUCAUUUAAAGAAAGCGUAAUAGCUCACUGGUCGAGUCGGCCUGCGCGGAAGAUGUAACGGGGCUAAACCAUGCACCGAAGCUGCGGCAGCGACGCUUAUGCGUUGUUGGGUAGGGGAGCGUUCUGUAAGCCUGCGAAGGUGUGCUGUGAGGCAUGCUGGAGGUAUCAGAAGUGCGAAUGCUGACAUAAGUAACGAUAAAGCGGGUGAAAAGCCCGCUCGCCGGAAGACCAAGGGUUCCUGUCCAACGUUAAUCGGGGCAGGGUGAGUCGACCCCUAAGGCGAGGCCGAAAGGCGUAGUCGAUGGGAAACAGGUUAAUAUUCCUGUACUUGGUGUUACUGCGAAGGGGGGACGGAGAAGGCUAUGUUGGCCGGGCGACGGUUGUCCCGGUUUAAGCGUGUAGGCUGGUUUUCCAGGCAAAUCCGGAAAAUCAAGGCUGAGGCGUGAUGACGAGGCACUACGGUGCUGAAGCAACAAAUGCCCUGCUUCCAGGAAAAGCCUCUAAGCAUCAGGUAACAUCAAAUCGUACCCCAAACCGACACAGGUGGUCAGGUAGAGAAUACCAAGGCGCUUGAGAGAACUCGGGUGAAGGAACUAGGCAAAAUGGUGCCGUAACUUCGGGAGAAGGCACGCUGAUAUGUAGGUGAAGUCCCUCGCGGAUGGAGCUGAAAUCAGUCGAAGAUACCAGCUGGCUGCAACUGUUUAUUAAAAACACAGCACUGUGCAAACACGAAAGUGGACGUAUACGGUGUGACGCCUGCCCGGUGCCGGAAGGUUAAUUGAUGGGGUCAGCGCAAGCGAAGCUCUUGAUCGAAGCCCCGGUAAACGGCGGCCGUAACUAUAACGGUCCUAAGGUAGCGAAAUUCCUUGUCGGGUAAGUUCCGACCUGCACGAAUGGCGUAAUGAUGGCCAGGCUGUCUCCACCCGAGACUCAGUGAAAUUGAACUCGCUGUGAAGAUGCAGUGUACCCGCGGCAAGACGGAAAGACCCCGUGAACCUUUACUAUAGCUUGACACUGAACAUUGAGCCUUGAUGUGUAGGAUAGGUGGGAGGCUUUGAAGUGUGG